rnacentral:lncRNA from 1 species
CCGCGCAGAGCCGGCGGCCAGCCUGGGAGCGGCCCAGAGGGCGCCCGGCGGGUGCAGUGGACGUCGUCAGCGCGCCGCGUGGGGGCCUUUGCAGAUUAAGGGACCUCCGCGGCCCCGCGCGGAGCGCUCUGUCACUGAUGAUGGAGGGGCCACGGCGGUCCGCACCAUCCCCCGUGCCUCAGUUUUCCCAUCUGUGAGGCUCAUGGUGUGACCAGGGACCUCCGUUUUAAAAUCACCCACUUUCUUUUUCUUCCUUCUCCUCUCACCCCUUCAUCCCGUCCCUCUCUGGACACUGCGCCCCUCUGCGCAUUCCAGAGGGGACCCUCAUCCUGAAACAAUUCCCGGCGCGGAACCCCAGCUGAAUGCUCCUGCUUGGGGCGGGGGGUCGCCAACAAUUAGUCCAACAUCCUCGACAGCCACCCCUCCUAACCGACAACUGCCCACGACAGCCAUGGGAACAAGACACAGACCCUGCCCUUACCCCACUCCCCACGGUGCCCACGGCAAGUUUCCCUAGAAGAACUCGAUGGCAGCCUGGGCAACAUAGAGAGACCCCAUCUCUACAAAAAAAAUCAUUUAAAAAAAUUAGCUGGGCGUGGUGGUGCACCUGAAGAGGCUGAGGCAAGAGGAUCGUUUGAGCCCAGGGAGCUCCAGGCUGCAGUGAGUCGUGAUCAUACCACUGCACUCCAGCCUGGAUGACAAAGUGAGAUCUUGCCUCAAAAACUAACAAACACACAAAACCUGAGGAUAAAUUUUUAAUUUUAGGGUGGCACUUUAUUUAUUGUUUGUUUGUUUUUUGGAGACAGUCUCACUCUAUACCCCAGGCUGGAGUGCAGUGGCGUGAUCUUGGCUCACUGCAAACUCCACCUCCCAGUUCAAGUGAUUCUCAUGCCUCAGCCUCCCGAG